rnacentral:rRNA from 3 species
CCGGGAUUGCCCUAGUAACGGCGAGUGAAGCGGCAAGAGCUCAAAUUUGAAAGCUGGCCCCUGCGGGGUCCGCAUUGUAAUUUGCAGAGGAUGCUUCGGGAGCGGUCCCCAUCUAAGUGCCCUGGAACGGGCCGUCAUAGAGGGUGAGAAUCCCGUAUGGGAUGGGGUGCCCGCGCCCGUGUGAAGCUCCUUCGACGAGUCGAGUUGUUUGGGAAUGCAGCUCUAAUUGGGUGGUAAAUUUCAUCUAAAGCUAAAUAUUGGCCGGAGACCGAUAGCGCACAAGUAGAGUGAUCGAAAGAUGAAAAGCACUUUGAAAAGAGAGUUAAACAGCACGUGAAAUUGUUGAAAGGGAAGCGCUUGCGAUCAGACUCGCUCCCGGGGUUCAGCCGGCAUUCGUGCCGGUGUACUUCCCCGGGGGCGGGCCAGCGUCGGUUUGGGCGGCCGGUCAAAGGCCCCUGGAAUGUAACGCCUCUCGGGGCGUCUUAUAGCCAGGGGUGCCAUGCGGCCUGCCCGGACCGAGGAACGCGCUUCGGCUCGGACGCUGGCAUAAUGGUCGUAAGCGACCCGUCUUGAAACACGGACCAAGGAGUCUAACAUCUACGCGAGUGUUCGGGUGUCAAACCCGUGCGCGCAGUGAAAGCGAACGGAGGUGGGAACCCCCCGGGGUGCACCAUCGACCGAUCCUGAUGUCUUCGGAUGGAUUUGAGUAAGAGCGUAGCUGUUGGGACCCGAAAGAUGGUGAACUAUGCCUGAAUAGGGCGAAGCCAGAGGAAACUCUGGUGGAGGCUCGCAGCGGUUCUGACGUGCAAAUCGAUCGUCAAAUUUGGGUAUAGGGGCGAAAGACUA